CCAACUGCGCAUGCGGCACAAGUUUCAGCGUAGCGCGUUUUGUCUGAUAGUAACCUGCCGUGUGCCUCGGCCGGCCAGAAUUCAUCGUUAAUAUGAUUCCGUCCGCUCUCUGCGUUGUCCUGCUCGUCACCGCGUGUAUGUUUCCUGACGGCGUCCGGCCGCUGUCGACGAACGCGAGUGUCAAGAGGAGCGACUGCAUCUACGAAGAAUGCACGGACGAAGUGUGCGUACCGCGAGGCCUCGUCUGUCGUCCGAAGGGGUGCGGGGGCUCGCACUGCGUCCGAGGUUAGCCCUUAGAAGGGGCACGACGCCGCUCCGACAGCAUGUGGAUGCCCGGGCACUGCAAUAUUCCUGGUAAUACUGCAACGGACGCAGGUGCAGGAGCCGCCGGGGACCUUCUCCGUCGGCGUCGCCGCCGCUGGGAGGUGGCUCUCAAAAGUUAAGACUUGGCAGACCAGUUCUGGGCCGUCCGGCAAGCCGAAGACGCCGCCCGAGUCCAAGGACUUCGAGCCGCCGCCUGAUGCCACCAUAACAAAAGCUGCUGGACCAUUCUUUAAUAAAGCUUCUUCUUCUUCUUCUCGAGGAUACCAACAUUUUGCGGAAAUAUUAUUUUCAGUUGAUCCUAAUAAGCUAAAUGAGUGAUAUAAAUGUUGUUUUGGGUGGUAAAUUGAUUUAGGUGGUGAUCGUAAUUCUUACGCAAUGUGUAAUUGUGUUCUGUUCUUGCAGGGUAAUUACAUGUGUUGUGUGUUCAGCUAUUCAAAAUAUGCCUUUAUAUAUGCGAAUGUGUAUUGAAAUCAUGCACAAAGCUUUGCGGUUCAUGUACUGUUGGACUGUAUAGUUUUCAUUCAUCUGGUGUACUACUGAGUGCCAUAUUUUGUGUCAUUAUUCUCCCUUUUUACUUUACAUUUGUUGGCUUUGCUAAGUGACAAGGAGUAGCCGGUGCCUCCAUAAAGGCGCCGACCUCUCCUAAUAUUCAUUUAAAUAAAAAAAUAUGUCGUUGUUGCGACUGCUUCGCAGAACAGGUUUGCUGCUAGCAGAUGAUGACACUAAAUAAUUAGUGAACAGAAGGACUAGAAGAAAACUUGAGGGGUGAUUUUACUGAGAAGAGCAUUACGUUUUAGUGGUCGAUAGGAUAUACAGACGUGUAGUCCUGUAGGCAAGCGCUGACUUUACGCAACAAGCGCACACAAUCAUGCAUGAGCAGUCGCGCUUCUUGUGACAGGAACUUCAUAGAGCACUGCAAUAUCACAUUUUCUGUUUCACGUGCUAUGCAAAUAGCUUACAUAUAUCUGCGUGCUCACAACGAGCCGAAGAAUAUGUUGCACUGAUAAUUGCAUUUUCUCAAGUUGCUUAGCGUCAUUGAGCGUUCUUUAUAUUCGAAAACACUUCCACUUCAUGAUAAGAAGGUUCCUGAGAUGUCGGAGCUAAGUGUAUGGUAACCAUGUACUUUUGCUAUGCCAAUUUAUUACCUCAUAUGUAAACUCUCGCGGCACAUUAUGUAUAUCAGUUUUCUGCUCGGCCUGGAAAUACUUUUCAGUAAGCGCCAAGUUCAUACGAAUGUGGACAUAUUGUUCUGCUGUGACUGAUCGUAGAUGCUGCUGCGCUUUAUCAAAGUUCCUGUCGGGUAUUUGAGUGCAUCUUGUUAUAAUUGCAGAAAACUGAGCUGGGAACCAAGAGGACAAAAUGCAACGAGUCUGUCUGUUUUAGGCUCAGAUAUCACCAAGGCUUACAACAGCGUGAAAUGGAGCAUCAAUGGACAACGUUACCAUUUUGAAGGAUGUCCGUCAGGAUAUGGUAUGGGUCUGCAGAUGUUGUAAUCAAGGCUUGCUCAAUCUUUGUGCAAGCAGUGGUAAAGGA